CAAUAAGCAAAGUUUGCAUAUUGAACUAGGAAUCAACCAACAGAUUUGAAAGGUUGCCCCAAUACAAUUGAAACCGUAUAGUUGCUGAGAUGAGUAUUUUCAUAAAAGAAAUGCACUCUAGAAUCGCUGACUCCAACUGCUACCCCAACAAAACCUCUUUCAGGGUUUGGUCGAACAGGAAGCAAUGGAGUUUACAUGAGGAAUACAAAAAAUAUGUUUUCUCUUCAUUAUCGCGUCUCCCCCCCUACAAUGUUAUUGUUGAACAUACAUCCGGUGUCUGUGUCCAAUAAGGUGGCCUCAACCAUGUUGAGUCAAUAAACACUCGCUUUGCGUCCAGCGGACCCGUUACCUGAUCUCAAUGGAAUCCAUUACGAGGCACGUCAUUGCCUGCCAGAGGCCUUUUGCACUGCUCUGCUCCAGGCUUCUUACUCAGGCCUGCUGUCCAGGCCUAUUAACAGAAAAGGGCUGAUAGGCACUAUCGCACUUCAGCCCACCCCUUUCCCACGGGUAACACUUCACACACGACAAACUCUCUCUUGCGCUUGGUUCUCUCUGCCCCCCAAUUACACUGAAACGAGUCUCUCGAUUCAGACGGGAGAUAAGUAUCUGAAGUCUGAUGGCAGACCCCGCCUGAGUCUGGAAAGACAUGCCUGUCCUCAGAAAAUGGUGGUGCACAGUACUGCUUGAGAACUUCCACCUGGAUGGGCCCGGCAGAAGGUUCCCACACUUCAUGGAGGAGGCCAAACAAAUGGCGGCUGAACUACUUCCACCAGUCUUCAGACUGAAGCGAAAAAGAGAAGUGAAUGACGUUUCCAGUGACAGAAUACAAAUAUUAUAUUGUAUAGGCUUAAUAUUGAUUUGACUGUUUGAUUCUUUUGACAGUGAGUUGGAGCUGAUGGCAGUCAGCAUGAAGAAGCUAUAUCUUUAAGCUUCUGUAGAUUAUUUGUUAAAUAAAUUGUGAGGAAACUUUGUUGUGGUUAUUCUUCAAUGUAUAUUUAUAUCAAAUUAUGAUGGUAUACUUUACAAAAAAUUAAAUUGGAUUCAAUUAGACAUAUUAAAACAAUUACUUAAUUCGAAUUACUUAUUUCUAAUGGUCAAUUACUUAAUGAGUAAAGUGUAUAAUACACAAUUCCAUUAAAUAAUUGUCUACUCACUAAAUCAGUUUAUUCGUCUAAAUAAUGUUAAAAAAAUUAAGCAAUAAAAAUGCUUACUGACUGGACUGAGACAAAAAAAUGGCCCUGGCAUUUUUGGCCAUGGCAGCCCACUAUGAUUAUUUAUACGACAUGCGGA